UCUUGGUCAUUUUAGAGGAAGUAAAAGUCGUAACAAGGUUUCCGUAGGUGAACCUGCGGAAGGAUCAUUACCGAAUCGUCAAACACGGGUUGUUGCUGGCCCCUGAACGGGGGCACGUGCACGCUCUGUUUACGCAUCCACUCACACCUGUGCACCCUCGGUAGUUCUAUGGUUCGGGAGACCCUGUCUUCCUUCCGUGGCUCUACGUCUUUACACACACACAAUGUCUCAUGGAAUGUUUUUCGCGUUUAACGCAAUACAAUACAACUUUCAGCAACGGAUCUCUUGGCUCUCGCAUCGAUGAAGAACGCAGCGAAAUGCGAUAAGUAAUGUGAAUUGCAGAAUUCAGUGAAUCAUCGAAUCUUUGAACGCACCUUGCGCCCCUUGGUUAUUCCUUGGGGCAUGCCUGUUUGAGUAUCAUGAACACCUCAACUCUCAUGGUCUUCCAUGACGAGCUUGGACUUUGGAGGUUUGCUGGCCCUGCGGCCGGCUCCUCUCAAACAAAUCAGCUUGCCAGUGUUUGGCGGCAUCUCACGGGUGUGAUAACUAUCUACGCUCGCGGUUGUCUGCCAGGUAACCCUCAGCGAUGAAGGUUCAUUGGGGCUCAUAAACGUCUCUCCUCGGCGAGGACAACUUUUGAACGUUCGAUCUCAAAUCAGGUAGGACUACCCGCUGAACUUAAGCAUAUCAAUAAGCGGAGGAA
rnacentral:rRNA from 1 species